rnacentral:rRNA from 1 species
AGGUCAUAGUGAUCCGGUGGUUCUGAAUGGAAGGGCCAUCGCUCAACGGAUAAAAGGUACUCCGGGGAUAACAGGCUGAUACCGCCCAAGAGUUCAUAUCGACGGCGGUGUUUGGCACCUCGAUGUCGGCUCAUCACAUCCUGGGGCUGAAGUAGGUCCCAAGGGUAUGGCUGUUCGCCAUUUAAAGUGGUACGCGAGCUGGGUUUAGAACGUCGUGAGACAGUUCGGUCCCUAUCUGCCGUGGGCGCUGGAGAACUGAGGGGGGCUGCUCCUAGUACGAGAGGACCGGAGUGGACGCAUCACUGGUGUUCGGGUUGUCAUGCCAAUGGCACUGCCCGGUAGCUAAAUGCGGAAGAGAUAAGUGCUGAAAGCAUCUAAGCACGAAACUUGCCCCGAG